GAAUUCAAACAAGCGUUAUUUGACGAUUCGAACAAUGUAAACGGAAAUAAAUUAAGGACAUACCGUUUAUACAAAACAAACGUUAAAACUGAGCGAUACCUUAAGCUACAACUCCCCAAAAAUGUGCGUCGAACUGUUACCCUGUUCCGUAACGGGUCUCUGCCGUUGGCGAUCGAGACAGGACGAUAUGCCCGACCGCGAACACCAGUAGAUGAAAGACUAUGCCGACUAUGUAAUAGCAACGAUGUUGAAAGUGAAAAACAUUUUUUGUUGUUUUGCCCAUUAUAUGACGAUAUUAGAUUUGAAUUGUUUGUUAAAGCUAGAACUUUAAUUGAUAGCUUCGAUACUAUGG
rnacentral:lncRNA from 1 species